AUUGAACGCUGGCGGCAGGCCUAACACAUGCAAGUCGAACGAGUGGCGGACGGGUGAGUAAUGUCUGGGAAACUGCCUGAUGGAGGGGGAUAACUACUGGAAACGGUAGCUAAUACCGCAUACUAUCAGAUGUGCCCAGAUGGGAUUAGCUAGUUGGUGGGGUAACGGCUCACCAAGGCGACGAUCCCUAGCUGGUCUGAGAGGAUGACCGGCCACACGGGGACUGAGACACGGUCCAGACUCCUACGGGAGGCAGCAGUGGGGAAUAUUGCACAAUGGGCGCAAGCCUGAUGGAGCCAUGCCGCGUGUGUGAAGAAGGCCUUCGGGUUGUAAAGUACUUUCAGCGGGGAGGCGUUACCCAAAGAAGAAGCACCGGCUAACUCCGUGCCAGCAGCCGCGGUAAUAC
rnacentral:rRNA from 1 species